CGGCGAAAGGGUGAGUAACACGUAACCAACGUACCCCUCAGAUCGGGAUAACCACUGGAAACGGUGGAUAAUACUGAAUGGUCCUAGGAAGGACAUCCUUCCGAAGGUAAACGGCGGCUUCGGCUGCUGUUGAGGGAGCGGGUCGCGUCCUAUCAGCUUGUUGGUGAGGUAACGGCUCACCAAGGCUAUGACGAGUAGCGGGUCUGAGAGGAUGAUCCGCCACACUGGGACUGAGACACUGCCCAGACUCCUACGGGAGGCUGCAGUCGAGAAUCUUCCACAAUGGGCGAAAGCCUGAUGGAGCGACGCUGCGUGUAGGAUGAAGGCCUUAGGGUUGUAAACUACUGUCACGCUAUAGGAACCCGUGUAGGUUAAUAGCCUGCGCGCUGACCAAAGCGAGAGGAAGUGCCGGCUAACUCCGUGCCAGCAGCCGCGGUAAGACGGAGGGCGCAAGCGUUGUUCGGAAUCACUGGGCAUAAAGGGCGCGUAGGCGGCCAGUUCAGUCGGAUGUGAAAUCCCCCGGCCCAACCGGGGAACUGCAUUCGAUACUGACUGGCUGGAGGAUGGUAGGAGCCAAUGGAACUCCAGGUGGAACGGUGAAAUGUGUAGAUAUCUGGAGGAACACCGGUGGCGAAAGCGAUUGGCUGGGCCAUUUCUGACGCUGAGGCGCGAAAGCUAGGGGAGCGAACGGGAUUAGAUACCCCGGUAGUCCUAGCCGUAAACGAUGGGUACUGG
rnacentral:rRNA from 1 species